rnacentral:rRNA from 1 species
CUUCGGGUGGCACCAGUGGGGAAUAUUGGACAAUGGGGGAAACCCUGAUCCAGCAAUGCCGCGUGUGUGAAGAAGGCCUGCGGGUUGUAAAGCACUUUCGGUUGGGAGGACUGCUUCUAGCACUAAUAUUGUUGGAAGUUGACGUUACCUUCAGAAGAAGCACCGGCUAACUCCGUGCCAGCAGCCGCGGUAAUACGGAGGGUGCACGCGUUAAUCGGAAUUACUGGGCGUAAAGCGCGCGUAGGCGGCUAGAUCAGUCGGGUGUGAAAGCCCCGGGCUUAACCUGGGAACUGCAUCCGAUACUGUCUAGCUUGAGUACAGGAGAGGAGAGUGGAAUUCCACAUGUAGUGGUGAAAUGCGUAGAUAUGUGGAGGAACACCAAUGGCGAAGGCAACUCUCUGGCCUGAUACUGACGCUGAGGUGCGAAAGCGUGGGGAGCAAACAGGAUUAGAUACCCGUGUAGUC